rnacentral:rRNA from 1 species
GAUGAACGCUGGCGGCGUGCCUAAUACAUGCAAGUCGAGCGAAGCGGGGACGGGUGAGUAACACGUAGAUACCCUCCUAUACGACUGGGAUAACUUCGGGAAACCGGUGCAAAACCGGCUACUUAUAUGUCGCUCCGGGGUGCACUAGCGAGGUGUUAAGUGAACGGCUUACCAAGGCAACGAUGCAUAGCCGACCUGAGAGGGUGAUCGGCCACACUGGAACUGAGACACGGCCCAGACUCCUACGGGAGGCAGCAGUAGGGAAUCUUCCGCAAUGGGCGAAAGCCUGACGGAGCAACGCCGCGUGAGUGAUGAAGGUCUUCGGAUCGUAAAACUCUGUUAUUAGGGAAGCGGUACCUAAUCAGAAAGCCACGGCUAACUACGUGCCAGCCGCCGCGGUAAUUC